CUAUUUGCCCCAUCCAGCCGCCGCUCCCAACCCAGUCCACCAGCCAGCCGCCGGCGCGACGCUACUACUCCCCGGACUAUCCCUCGGCUAACCACCGCCAUGUUGAUCGCUCCCUGGCCAGUCUUCCGGUCAGCCUCCGCCAUGCCCGACGCUCUCUUGGCCAGAUGGCGCCGCCGCGACCGAGGCUCCUCAGCCUCCUGCCACCACCACCGCGACCGAGGCUCCUCCACAUGCCGUCGCCGCAACGACCGACGAUCUCCCGUGCAUUAAUUCUCUUCCCGCUACCGCUCUAUAGCCACCACUACCCUUCUGCCUCCACGACGUAUGAUAUCCCAGCCACAAAUGCACAUGAAACGGCCUGCCGCACCACACAAUUCCUCCCCUCAUUACCUCGCCUUUCAUUACCCUGCAGAUGCGGAAGAAAGUGGGUUUAAAUACCCCUAUGUAGUGCCAUCGUCAUCACAGACGCCUUCUCGCGUCCCAUCUGGAAAGAGGCCUCCGGCCUGGUUGCGUUUCAGAUCAAAGGUGCUCUGCUCCAUGUUAUGCUUCAAACAUCUCUUGCCGCUGGGAAUUGUUUCAUUACUUCACAGGUCUCUUACUCUCUUUGCAUUUUUCCAGAUUGUGCCUUACUCUUACUUUGUCAUGUGCAGGAAUGAUAGACUACUAAUAUGAAAAAUUAGGCUUUCAAUUUUCGUGGUACUUGCUAUAGUUCUUCUAGAUACAUAUUGCUCAUCCAAAAAAACUCUCUUUGUUGCCCAUAUUAUUAUACCUGAAUCACUGCCAAUAGGUACUAGAUGAACUAACCGGAAAGAGGCAAGGGGUAUCGAUUCAUGUUUGCAUGUUGUUGAAGAGUAUCAUGGAAUUGGAUAUGGGCUUUUCUCAAUUACCAAUCACUUUUACUCUGUAGGAAAUUUUUUUAUCCCUUUCAUGUUGACCAUUUAUAAUUGUUCAUCUCCCUUAUACCGUAGAAACAAGAUUAUCUUAGUUUUCUUCUGGGUUGGAUAGUUCAAUUAGUUAUUCGUAAAAAAAUGGAUAGUUAAAUUAGUUAAAUGAUUAUAUGUGCAUGAGUAUGUUUGUUAGCAAUGCAACAUAUGUCUUUUUUUAAUUUAAGACAGACUGUGGUGUUCAUGUUGAUUCUAUCAACAUUUUUGUUAUCCUCCUUCUGCACUCCCCUAGAUUGCACUCCUAGAUCGCAAGGUGUCGGGCAUUUUGCUUCAUAGAUAUCUUGCUACUUGCAUUGGUAAGCACAUACUCAUCUCUAAAUUUAAUUGUUUACACAUGAUGAGCAUACACAACUUAUAUUUCUUUCCAUGCAUAUUACGUACCAUUGAAUUUCUUCCCCUGAAUUAUUAUGUGCAUUGCGUUUGUUCAAAACAUAUAGGCUAUAAUCUUCUUCCUUUUAAGGCGAUUGAGUGCAUAUGGUUUACAAAGAUGGAUGGUGCCAAAUAUUCUUCGAUGCAUCUUCGUAGGCAUUCAGUCUCAUGCAGUCAUGGACACCCCCACCAUCAGUCAUUACAUGUUGUCACCCCUGAAAUAAACCAAUCUACUGCUUCAACACAAGUGUGUAGACAACAUAGAAAUAGAGGUUAGUUAGGAUAAAGUACUGCAAAUUACCCUCAAUAUUUCUAUGAACGGACCACUGUAUUAGAGAAUGGUUUCACACAUUGUGCAAUAAAAAUGGACUUGGCAUUACUAACACAUUAGUUGUUCCUCAUAAUGUCCACUGCAGGCAUGUGCAGAUAUCUUUUCAAGUAGAAUCAGAAAAGAAAAAUCUUUUCAAGUAUGUGACAAAAUGAUUUGAUUGUACCAGAUAAAAAAUGGAGUCUAAUGCUAGGUCAUCCUUUUCACCAAGUGAAACGGCCAAUGAAAUAGAUAUUCAUCGAGAGUGUCGCUAUAUUGCACCAAAUGAGGCUGUUUGGCGCUUGCCUAAGUAUGACAUUCACCAUACAUACCCGUCCACAGAAAGACUCCCUGUUAUUCUUGCUGGAAUGAAGACUGAUUCAGUACCUCAGAUCCCCAAAGGUCAUGUCAUAAAGAAAAGCUUCUCUAUCGCUAAUGCACAAGUGUUGCCCUCUACAAAGCCAUCUCCAAUCAAAGAAUUGACGACCCAUUCAUCUUCAAUUAUAAUAAUCGAGAGUCCAAUGAUCCAAUCACCAGAGGACUCAAACAAUACUACAUAUCCCUCUUGCCUAGCGGCAGAUAUUGACACUGAGGAAAAACAAAACAAGCACUCUUUAGCUAAAAGGAUCACUGAAUUUGCGGAAGAUGAAACUACCAACAAAGAGAGGUAUGAACGGAUAACAAUAAUCCUAUUUACCAUAUAAUUUCUCAACGGUGCAAUAUUUAUCAACAAGGUGUGUAGCAAGCAUGUAACACGCGAAGGGCCG